GACAGAGGUGCCGAGCGUUAGGCGGAAUCACUGGGCUUAAAGCGUGUGUAGGCGGGUGCCUAAGUACCUUGUGAAAUCCCACGGCUCAACCGUGGAACUGCUGGGUAUACUGGGCGCCUUGAGCCACUUAGGGGCUACCGGAACAAAUGGUGGAGCGGUGAAAUGCGUAGAUAUCAUUUGGAACGCCAAUGGUGAAAACAGGUAGCUGGGAGUGUGCUGACGCUGAGACACGAAAGCCAGGGGAGCGAACGGG
rnacentral:rRNA from 1 species